CCUACGGGUGGCAGCAGUGGGGAAUAUUGCACAAUGGGGGAAACCCUGAUGCAGCAACGCCGCGUGAAGGAAGACGGUUUUCGGAUUGUAAACCUCUGUUCGUAGGGAAGAAAAAGGAGGGUAGCGAAGGAGCAAGCCACGGCUAAAUACGUGCCAGCAGCCGCGGUAAUAGGUAGGUGCCACGCGUUUUCCGGAAUUACUGGGUGUAAAGGGAGCGCAGGCGGGAAGCCAAGUCAGCUGUGAAAGCUUCGGGCUUAACUUCGAGACUGCAGUUGAAACUGGUUGUCUUGAGUGAAGUAGAGGUUGGCGGAAUGUCGGGUGUAGCGGUGAAAUGCGUAGAUAUUCGGAGGAACACCGGUGGCGAAGGCGGCCAACUGGGCUUCAACUGACGUUGAGGCUCGAAAGUGUGGGGAGCAAACAGGAUUAGAUACCCGGGUAGUC
rnacentral:rRNA from 1 species